rnacentral:rRNA from 1 species
GUUUAAAAGAGUUUGAUCCUAGCUCAGGGUUAAUGUUAGCGGUGCGCCUAACACAUGCAAGUCGAACGGGAUUACUUUUAGUAGCAAUACUGAAAGUAUGAGAGUGGCGAACGAGUGAGUAAUACGUUGGAAUCUGCCCCCAAGUCAGGGAUAGCGAGAAGAAAUUCUUGAUAAUACCGGAUAGUCUCUUCGGAGUAAAAAUUUAUUGCUUGGGGAAGAGCCUGCGUUCUAUCAGCUAGUUGGUGAGGUAAAUGCUUACCAAGGCUAUGACGGAUAACUGGUCUGAGAGGAUGAUCAGUCACGAUGGAACUGAGAUACGGUCCAUACUCCUACGGGAGGCAGCAGUGAGGAAUCUUCCACAAUGGGCGAAAGCCUGAUGGAGCGACACCGCGUGAAGGAUGAAGGCCUAACGGUUGUAAACUUCUUUUCUGAAGGAGCAUAAUGAGAGUACUUCAGGAAUAAGGGACGGCUAAAUACGUGCCAGCAGCCGCGGUAAUACGUAUGUCUCAAACAUUACCCGGAAUUAUUGGGUGUAAAGGGUUCGUAGGUUGGAAUUUAAGUUAGGUAUGAAAGACCGGAGCUCAACUCCGUGUUUGUAUUUAAAACUGGGUUCCUAGAAUCAGGAAAAGGUAAGCGGAAUUCUAAGUGUAGGGGUGCAAUCCGUAGAUACUUAGAAGAACACCAAAAGCGAAGGCAGCUUACUGGGACUGUAUUGACACUGAUGAACGAAAGCGUGGGGAGCGAAAAGGAUUAGAUACCCUUGUAGUCCACGCCCUAAACGUUGAUAACUAAGUGUUGCACAUUGGUGCAGUGCUGAAGCUAACGCAUUAAGUUAUCCACCUGAGUAGUACGGUCGCAAGAUUAAAACUCAAAGGAAUAGACGGGGACCCACACAAGCAGUGGAUCACGCGGUUUAAUUCGACAAUAAACGAGAAACCUUACCCAGACUUGACAUCUAUCGAAUCUUUCAGAGAUGAAAGAGUGCCUUUAUUGGAGCGAUAAGACAGGUGCUGCAUGGUUGUCGUCAGCUCGUGCCUUGAGGUGUUCGGUUAAGUCCGUUAACGAGCGCAACCCUUGUCAUUAGUUAUUAUGUCUAAUGAGACUGCCCUGGUUAACAGGGAGGAAGGUGAGGAUGACGUCAAAUCAGCAUGGCUUUUACGUCUGGGGCUACACGCAUGAUACAAUGGGGUGUACAAAGAGUAGCAAUAUAGCAAUAUGGAGCCAAUCUUUAAAGCAUCUCUCAGUCCAGAUUGAAGUCUGAAACUCGACUUCAUGAAGUUGGAAUUGCUAGUAAUCGUGAAUCAGACAUGUCACGGUGAAUGUGUUCCUGGGUCUUGUACUCACCGCCCGUCAAGGCAUGGGAGGCAGCAAUAUCGGAAGUCCCCCUAGUAAUAUGGGGGCCCAUGGUAGGACUGCUGACUGGGCUUAAGUCGUAACAAGGUAUCCGUAGGAGAACCUGCGGAUGGACUAUCUCCUUA